rnacentral:ncRNA from 1 species
GCGACAUGUAGAGGCGCAUCGCCUAUCAGUAACUCAGUCGAGGUAGACAGCCAAUGACGUUGAGUGAAAGGAUUCGAUGCCGAAGUGCACUGGGCGUCAUCCCAUUGUGCUGGGGUUGUAUUAAACAGGUACAACACUGCCAUAGUAACUCCGCCAGGAAGGCAGACAUUGAAAUUUACUAUGGAGCGCUACUGAAGGA